rnacentral:tRNA from 1 species
GCGGACGUGGCAGAGUGGUCUCUCCCUACGCGAGACACAAUAAUGCGUCGGCCUUGAGUCAGCCGAUUCGCCUUCGGGCGAUCAGGAGUUCAAAUCUCCUCGUCCGCG